rnacentral:rRNA from 1 species
CGAGUUUGAUCCUGGCUCAGAGCGAACGCUAGCAACAGGCCUAACACAUGCAAGUUGAGCGAUGCUUAUCCCAUCAGCAGCAAACGGGUGAGUAAUGCGUGAAGCUCCACCUCGUCCCACGACAUACCACAAGGAAACUUGUUCCAACAUCGUAUAACUCCUUCAACAGGCAAAGGGAGGCUCGGAACGAGACGAGCUCAUGUUAGAUUAGCUUUUUAGCAAAACAAAUAUUUGCUAAGGCAACGAUCUAUAGCUGGUCUGGGAGGACGACCAGCCACAUUGGGACUGAGACAAGGCCCAACCUCCUUUGGGAGGCAGCAGUGAGGAAUCUUGGACAAUGGGCGAAAGCCUGAUCCAGCCAUGUUGCGUGAGUGAUGAAGGUCCUUCGAAAAGGGAACGUACCCCUUGACUGUAAAACUCUUUUAUCGAUAUGCAUGAUGAUGUGUCGAUGAAUAAGCUCCGGCCAACUUCGUGCCAGCAGCCGCGGUAACACGAAGGGAGCGAGCGUUGCUCAUCUUAACUGGGCGUAAAGUGCACGCAGGUGGCUUGAACAAGUUGCCAACCAAACUUUGUAUCCCCACUACAUCACGUUGUCAAUACUGUCAAGCUAGGAUGGAGGGGAGUUGAACAGAACUCCAAGUGUAGAGGUGAAAUUCGUUGAUAUUUGGAUGACUACCAAAAGGCGAAAGCAGUUCAUCAUCCUCCUUCGACACUGAUCGUGCUAAAGCGUGGGGAGCAAACAGGAUUAGAUACCCUGGUAGUCCACGCCCUAAACGAUGGAUGCCAACGGCCAGGGACCACCAUCCCAGUCGUAAAGCUAACGCGUCAAGCAUCCCGCCUGAGGACUACGGCCGCAAGGCUAAAACUCAAAGGAAUUGACGGAGACCCGCACAAGCGGUGGAGCAUGUGGUUUAAUUCGAAGCUACACGAAAAACCUUACCAGCCCUUGACAUUUUUGGCUAACAACGUCAUCAUAGACGUUCCUCUCUUCCCAGCAAGUGACAUCACAAGUUUGGGGAUGAGAAUGCCAUUAACAGGUGCUGCAUGGCUGUCGUCAGCUCGUGUCGUGAGACGUGUGGUUCACUCCACCAAACGAGCGAAACCCUUCUCCCUAGUUGCUUAAGGUCAUCACCAGCUCUCUAUGGACACUGCCAACGACAAGUUGGAGGAAGGUGAGGACGACGUCAAGUCAUCAUGGCCCUUAUGGGUUGGGCUACACACGUGCUACAAUGACGAUCACAAUGAGUCGCAAUAUCGCAAGAUGGAGCUAACCUUCAAAAAUCGUCUUAGUUCGGAUUGUGUUCUGAAACUCGAACACAUGAAGCAGGAAUCGCUAGUAAUCGCAGAUCAGCAUGCUGCGGUGAAUACGUUCUCGGGUCUUGUACACACCGCCCGUCACACCAUGGGAGCCACAUCCAUCCAAAGUCUCCACAGAGGAGAUGAGAGUGGUGAUGGCAACUGGGGUGAAGUCGUAACAAGGUAGCCGUAGGAGAACCUGUGGCUG